UUGGCCUUCACAUCCUUGAUAUGGGACGAAUAGGGUGCUGCGGCGGAGUAAUCAUUUCUAGAUUUUUCUUCACAAUUCUACUUAACCUUGAAACCUGAAGAUUAGAUUUCCUUCCAACGGCUAGUGUGGAUAAAUAUUCUCGGAGAAACCACUGAUUUCUUCUACAUUGAAUUAUUUUCUCUCUUAUUGGGAAAGCUGGAGAAUGUGGCUCGGACGAGAAAUUGUUGUGGCUGGCCUUCUUCCCCCCAUUGGACUAACCAGAUGAUUCAGAUAUCCUGGUAUGAAACUUACUGAGUCUUCAGUUUCGAACUCAGUUUCACCAAUUAAAUGUAAUUAUUUAGUUUUUAAGUUUAUAGUUUUUGUGUCUCUACUAACUACUUACAUGUUCUAAAUAUAGUCGUCUAAGUUCUCCCGAAUGAAAGCUAAAUAGUUGACUGAGUUUCCAUGCGUAAAAACUUUUUUUAAAUAAAAAAAUAACAAUUGUUAAAAAUAGCCUUUAAAUAU